rnacentral:rRNA from 1 species
AGUGAACGCUGGCGGUAGGCCUAACACAUGCAAGUCGAACGGCAGCACAGUAAGUGCUUGUUCUUACGGGUUGCGAGUGGCGGACGGGUGAGGUAUACAUCGUAAUCUACUUUUUCGUGGGGGCUAACGUAGGGAAACUUACGCUAAUACCCCAUACGCCCUACGGUUUUAAGCAGGGGAUCUUCGCAUCUUGCGCGAUUGAGUGCGCGGACGUCGGAUUUGCUAGUUGGCGGGGUAAAGGCCCACCAAGGCGACGAUCCGCAGCUGGUCUGAGAGGAUGAUCAGCCGCACUGGAACUGAGACACGGUCCAGAGGCCUACGGGAGCCGGCAGGGGGGAAUAUUGGAGAAUGGGCGCGAAACUGAUCCAGACGGGCCGAGUGGGGGAAGAGGGCCUUCGGGUUGUAAAGGACGUUUGUUGGGAAGGAAAAGCAGCAGGGUAAGACAGAGGUGAUAUGACGGUACCCAAAAGAUAAGCACCGGCUAACUUCGUG